rnacentral:rRNA from 1 species
AUGAAUCUGUUGGCCUGGAACUGUCGAGGGUUGGGUUUGACCUCGACAGUUGGCGAACUUCGGGACCUGAUUAGGUUGUACAACCUAGCGGUGGUGUUCCUAUGUGAAACAAAAAAGAAGGCAAGGGCUAUGGAGAAAUUGAAGUGGAGUAUUGGUUUCAAGUGUGGUGUGGCGGUGGACUGCAUGGGCCGUAGUGGAGGACUAGCCUUGUGGUAG